CCCUUAGAUGUUCUGGGCCGCACGCGCGCUACAAUGAUGAAUUCAACUAGUUUAUAACCUUGGUUGAAAAGCCUGGGUAAUCUUUUGAACUUUCGUCGUGAUGGGGCUAGACCCUUGCAAUUAUUGGUCUCCAACGAGGAAUUCCUAGUAAACGCAAGUCAUCAGCUUGCAUUGAUUACGUCCCUGCCCUUUGUACACACCGCCCGUCGCACCUACCGAUUGAAUGGUCCGGUGAAAUCUUCGGAUUGAGACUUUGAUUUCUUCACGGAAAACGCUGUUUUAAAAAGUUGAUUAAACCUUACCAUUUAGAGGAAGGUGAAGUCGUAACA
rnacentral:rRNA from 1 species